GUAGCAUAGUCAGUAGUCUUUUAAUUGGAGGCUUGAAUGAAUGGUUGGACGAGGGAUAAACUGUCUCCUUAGCGGCGUUUGAAUUUAACUUUUGAGUGAAAAGGCUCAAAUUGUUUAGGGGGACGAUAAGACCCUAUAAAACUUAAUAUAAUUUAGGCUUAACUUGCGAUGUGGGUGAAAAGUAGUUUUGUCUGGUUUAUAUUUCGUUGGGGAGAUGAAGAUAUAAUGAGUAACUGUCUAUAAAAUUUUAUAGCAUUGACUAGAAUUUGAUCCUUCCUUGGGGAUUAGGAGAAUAAGUUACUUUAGGGAUAACAGCGUGAUUUUCUUUGAGAGUUCUUAUCGACAAGAGUAGUUGCGACCUCGAUGUUGAAUUAAAAUUUCAGCUAGGUGUAGCCGUUUAGCUGGUA
rnacentral:rRNA from 1 species